rnacentral:rRNA from 1 species
AUCAGCUUUAGACGGUAGGGUAUUGGCCUACCGUGGCUAUGACGGGUAACGGGGAAUUAGGGUUCGAUUCCGGAGAGGGAGCCUGAGAAACGGCUACCACAUCUAAGGAAGGCAGCAGGCGCGCAAAUUACCCAAUCCUAAUACAGGGAGGUAGUGACAAGAAAUAACAAUACAGAGCCUUACGGUUUUGUAAUUGGAAUGAGUUAAGUAUAAACCCCUUAACAAGUAUCAAUUGGAGGGCAAGUCUGGUGCCAGCAGCCGCGGUAAUUCCAGCUCCAAUAGCGUAUAUUAAAGUUGUUGCAGUUAAAAAGCUCGUAGUUAAUUUUCUGUUAAUUUUUAUAUACAAUGCUACGGUAUUUAUAUAAUAUUAACAUAAUUCAUAUUACUUUUUAGUAUAUGAAACUUUACUUUGAGAAAAUUAGAGUGCUUAAAGCAGGCUAUUGCCUUGAAUACUCCAGCAUGGAAUAAUAUUAAGGAUUUUUAUUCUUCUUAUUGGUUCUAGAAUAAAAAUAAUGAUUAAUAGGGACAGUUGGGGGCAUUUGUAUUUAACAGUCAGAGGUGAAAUUCUUA